AUGCAAGAGUUUCCCUCUAUCAUUGGCUUUUUUUUUUUUUUUUUUUUUUUUUUUUUUUUUUUUUUUUUUUUUUUUUUUUUUUUUUUUUUUUUUUUUUUUUUUUUUUUUUUUUUUUUUUUUUUUUUUUUUUUUUUUUUUUUUUUUUUUUUUUUUUUUUUUUUUUUUUUUUUUUUUUUUUUUUUUUUUUUUUUUUUUUUUUUUUUUUUUUUUUUUUUUUUUUUUUUUUUUUUUUUUUUUUUUUUUUUUUUUUUUUUUUUUUUUUUUUUUUUUUUUUUUUUUUUUUUUUUUUUUUUUUUUUUUUUUUUUUUUUUUUUUUUUUUUUUUUUUUUUUUUUUUUUUUUUUUUUUUUUUUUUUUUUUUUUUUUUUUUUUUUUUUUUUUUUUUUUUUUUUUUUUUUUUUUUUUUUUUUUUUUUUUUUUUUUUUUUUUUUUUUUUUUUUUUUUUUUUUUUUUUUUUUUUUUUUUUUUUUUUUUUUUUUUUUUUUUUUUUUUUUUUUUUUUUUUUUUUUUUUUUUUUUUUUUUUUUUUUUUUUUUUUUUUUUUUUUUUUUUUUUUUUUUUUUUUUUUUUUUUUUUUUUUUUUUUUUUUUUUUUUUUUUUUUUUUUUUUUUUUUUUUUUUUUUUUUUUUUUUUUUUUUUUUUUUUUUUUUUUUUUUUUUUUUUUUUUUUUUUUUUUUUUUUUUUUUUUUUUUUUUUUUUUUUUUUUUUUUUUUUUUUUUUUUUUUUUUUUUUUUUUUUUUUUUUUUUUUUUUUUUUUUUUUUUUUUUUUUUUUUUUUUUUUUUUUUUUUUUUUUUUUUUUUUUUUUUUUUUUUUUUUUUUUUUUUUUUUUUUUUUUUUUUUUUUUUUUUUUUUUUUUUUUUUUUUUUUUUUUUUUUUUUUUUUUUUUUUUUUUUUUUUUUUUUUUUUUUUUUUUUUUUUUUUUUUUUUUUUUUUUUUUUUUUUUUUUUUUUUUUUUUUUUUUUUUUUUUUUUUUUUUUUUUUUUUUUUUUUUUUUUUUUUUUUUUUUUUUUUUUUUUUUUUUUUUUUUUUUUUUUUUUUUUUUUUUUUUUUUUUUUUUUUUUUUUUUUUUUUUUUUUUUUUUUUUUUUUUUUUUUUUUUUUUUUUUUUUUUUUUUUUUUUUUUUUUUUUUUUUUUUUUUUUUUUUUUUUUUUUUUUUUUUUUUUUUUUUUUUUUUUUUUUUUUUUUUUUUUUUUUUUUUUUUUUUUUUUUUUUUUUUUUUUUUUUUUUUUUUUUUUUUUUUUUUUUUUUUUUUUUUUUUUUUUUUUUUUUUUUUUUUUUUUUUUUUUUUUUUUUUUUUUUUUUUUUUUUUUUUUUUUUUUUUUUUUUUUUUUUUUUUUUUUUUUUUUUUUUUUUUUUUUUUUUUUUUUUUUUUUUUUUUUUUUUUUUUUUUUUUUUUUUUUUUUUUUUUUUUUUUUUUUUUUUUUUUUUUUUUUUUUUUUUUUUUUUUUUUUUUUUUUUUUUUUUUUUUUUUUUUUUUUUUUUUUUUUUUUUUUUUUUUUUUUUUUUUUUUUUUUUUUUUUUUUUUUUUUUUUUUUUUUUUUUUUUUUUUUUUUUUUUUUUUUUUUUUUUUUUUUUUUUUUUUUUUUUUUUUUUUUUUUUUUUUUUUUUUUUUUUUUUUUUUUUUUUUUUUUUUUUUUUUUUUUUUUUUUUUUUUUUUUUUUUUUUUUUUUUUUUUUUUUUUUUUUUUUUUUUUUUUUUUUUUUUUUUUUUUUUUUUUUUUUUUUUUUUUUUUUUUUUUUUUUUUUUUUUUUUUUUUUUUUUUUUUUUUUUUUUUUUUUUUUUUUUUUUUUUUUUUUUUUUUUUUUUUUUUUUUUUUUUUUUUUUUUUUUUUUUUUUUUUUUUUUUUUUUUUUUUUUUUUUUUUUUUUUUUUUUUUUUUUUUUUUUUUUUUUUUUUUUUUUUUUUUUUUUUUUUUUUUUUUUUUUUUUUUUUUUUUUUUUUUUUUUUUUUUUUUUUUUUUUUUUUUUUUUUUUUUUUUUUUUUUUUUUUUUUUUUUUUUUUUUUUUUUUUUUUUUUUUUUUUUUUUUUUUUUUUUUUUUUUUUUUUUUUUUUUUUUUUUUUUUUUUUUUUUUUUUUUUUUUUUUUUUUUUUUUUUUUUUUUUUUUUUUUUUUUUUUUUUUUUUUUUUUUUUUUUUUUUUUUUUUUUUUUUUUUUUUUUUUUUUUUUUUUUUUUUUUUUUUUUUUUUUUUUUUUUUUUUUUUUUUUUUUUUUUUUUUUUUUUUUUUUUUUUUUUUUUUUUUUUUUUUUUUUUUUUUUUUUUUUUUUUUUUUUUUUUUUUUUUUUUUUUUUUUUUUUUUUUUUUUUUUUUUUUUUUUUUUUUUUUUUUUUUUUUUUUUUUUUUUUUUUUUUUUUUUUUUUUUUUUUUUUUUUUUUUUUUUUUUUUUUUUUUUUUUUUUUUUUUUUUUUUUUUUUUUUUUUUUUUUUUUUUUUUUUUUUUUUUUUUUUUUUUUUUUUUUUUUUUUUUUUUUUUUUUUUUUUUUUUUUUUUUUUUUUUUUUUUUUUUUUUUUUUUUUUUUUUUUUUUUUUUUUUUUUUUUUUUUUUUUUUUUUUUUUUUUUUUUUUUUUUUUUUUUUUUUUUUUUUUUUUUUUUUUUUUUUUUUUUUUUUUUUUUUUUUUUUUUUUUUUUUUUUUUUUUUUUUUUUUUUUUUUUUUUUUUUUUUUUUUUUUUUUUUUUUUUUUUUUUUUUUUUUUUUUUUUUUUUUUUUUUUUUUUUUUUUUUUUUUUUUUUUUUUUUUUUUUUUUUUUUUUUUUUUUUUUUUUUUUUUUUUUUUUUUUUUUUUUUUUUUUUUUUUUUUUUUUUUUUUUUUUUUUUUUUUUUUUUUUUUUUUUUUUUUUUUUUUUUUUUUUUUUUUUUUUUUUUUUUUUUUUUUUUUUUUUUUUUUUUUUUUUUUUUUUUUUUUUUUUUUUUUUUUUUUUUUUUUUUUUUUUUUUUUUUUUUUUUUUUUUUUUUUUUUUUUUUUUUUUUUUUUUUUUUUUUUUUUUUUUUUUUUUUUUUUUUUUUUUUUUUUUUUUUUUUUUUUUUUUUUUUUUUUUUUUUUUUUUUUUUUUUUUUUUUUUUUUUUUUUUUUUUUUUUUUUUUUUUUUUUUUUUUUUUUUUUUUUUUUUUUUUUUUUUUUUUUUUUUUUUUUUUUUUUUUUUUUUUUUUUUUUUUUUUUUUUUUUUUUUUUUUUUUUUUUUUUUUUUUUUUUUUUUUUUUUUUUUUUUUUUUUUUUUUUUUUUUUUUUUUUUUUUUUUUUUUUUUUUUUUUUUUUUUUUUUUUUUUUUUUUUUUUUUUUUUUUUUUUUUUUUUUUUUUUUUUUUUUUUUUUUUUUUUUUUUUUUUUUUUUUUUUUUUUUUUUUUUUUUUUUUUUUUUUUUUUUUUUUUUUUUUUUUUUUUUUUUUUUUUUUUUUUUUUUUUUUUUUUUUUUUUUUUUUUUUUUUUUUUUUUUUUUUUUUUUUUUUUUUUUUUUUUUUUUUUUUUUUUUUUUUUUUUUUUUUUUUUUUUUUUUUUUUUUUUUUUUUUUUUUUUUUUUUUUUUUUUUUUUUUUUUUUUUUUUUUUUUUUUUUUUUUUUUUUUUUUUUUUUUUUUUUUUUUUUUUUUUUUUUUUUUUUUUUUUUUUUUUUUUUUUUUUUUUUUUUUUUUUUUUUUUUUUUUUUUUUUUUUUUUUUUUUUUUUUUUUUUUUUUUUUUUUUUUUUUUUUUUUUUUUUUUUUUUUUUUUUUUUUUUUUUUUUUUUUUUUUUUUUUUUUUUUUUUUUUUUUUUUUUUUUUUUUUUUUUUUUUUUUUUUUUUUUUUUUUUUUUUUUUUUUUUUUUUUUUUUUUUUUUUUUUUUUUUUUUUUUUUUUUUUUUUUUUUUUUUUUUUUUUUUUUUUUUUUUUUUUUUUUUUUUUUUUUUUUUUUUUUUUUUUUUUUUUUUUUUUUUUUUUUUUUUUUUUUUUUUUUUUUUUUUUUUUUUUUUUUUUUUUUUUUUUUUUUUUUUUUUUUUUUUUUUUUUUUUUUUUUUUUUUUUUUUUUUUUUUUUUUUUUUUUUUUUUUUUUUUUUUUUUUUUUUUUUUUUUUUUUUUUUUUUUUUUUUUUUUUUUUUUUUUUUUUUUUUUUUUUUUUUUUUUUUUUUUUUUUUUUUUUUUUUUUUUUUUUUUUUUUUUUUUUUUUUUUUUUUUUUUUUUUUUUUUUUUUUUUUUUUUUUUUUUUUUUUUUUUUUUUUUUUUUUUUUUUUUUUUUUUUUUUUUUUUUUUUUUUUUUUUUUUUUUUUUUUUUUUUUUUUUUUUUUUUUUUUUUUUUUUUUUUUUUUUUUUUUUUUUUUUUUUUUUUUUUUUUUUUUUUUUUUUUUUUUUUUUUUUUUUUUUUUUUUUUUUUUUUUUUUUUUUUUUUUUUUUUUUUUUUUUUUUUUUUUUUUUUUUUUUUUUUUUUUUUUUUUUUUUUUUUUUUUUUUUUUUUUUUUUUUUUUUUUUUUUUUUUUUUUUUUUUUUUUUUUUUUUUUUUUUUUUUUUUUUUUUUUUUUUUUUUUUUUUUUUUUUUUUUUUUUUUUUUUUUUUUUUUUUUUUUUUUUUUUUUUUUUUUUUUUUUUUUUUUUUUUUUUUUUUUUUUUUUUUUUUUUUUUUUUUUUUUUUUUUUUUUUUUUUUUUUUUUUUUUUUUUUUUUUUUUUUUUUUUUUUUUUUUUUUUUUUUUUUUUUUUUUUUUUUUUUUUUUUUUUUUUUUUUUUUUUUUUUUUUUUUUUUUUUUUUUUUUUUUUUUUUUUUUUUUUUUUUUUUUUUUUUUUUUUUUUUUUUUUUUUUUUUUUUUUUUUUUUUUUUUUUUUUUUUUUUUUUUUUUUUUUUUUUUUUUUUUUUUUUUUUUUUUUUUUUUUUUUUUUUUUUUUUUUUUUUUUUUUUUUUUUUUUUUUUUUUUUUUUUUUUUUUUUUUUUUUUUUUUUUUUUUUUUUUUUUUUUUUUUUUUUUUUUUUUUUUUUUUUUUUUUUUUUUUUUUUUUUUUUUUUUUUUUUUUUUUUUUUUUUUUUUUUUUUUUUUUUUUUUUUUUUUUUUUUUUUUUUUUUUUUUUUUUUUUUUUUUUUUUUUUUUUUUUUUUUUUUUUUUUUUUUUUUUUUUUUUUUUUUUUUUUUUUUUUUUUUUUUUUUUUUUUUUUUUUUUUUUUUUUUUUUUUUUUUUUUUUUUUUUUUUUUUUUUUUUUUUUUUUUUUUUUUUUUUUUUUUUUUUUUUUUUUUUUUUUUUUUUUUUUUUUUUUUUUUUUUUUUUUUUUUUUUUUUUUUUUUUUUUUUUUUUUUUUUUUUUUUUUUUUUUUUUUUUUUUUUUUUUUUUUUUUUUUUUUUUUUUUUUUUUUUUUUUUUUUUUUUUUUUUUUUUUUUUUUUUUUUUUUUUUUUUUUUUUUUUUUUUUUUUUUUUUUUUUUUUUUUUUUUUUUUUUUUUUUUUUUUUUUUUUUUUUUUUUUUUUUUUUUUUUUUUUUUUUUUUUUUUUUUUUUUUUUUUUUUUUUUUUUUUUUUUUUUUUUUUUUUUUUUUUUUUUUUUUUUUUUUUUUUUUUUUUUUUUUUUUUUUUUUUUUUUUUUUUUUUUUUUUUUUUUUUUUUUUUUUUUUUUUUUUUUUUUUUUUUUUUUUUUUUUUUUUUUUUUUUUUUUUUUUUUUUUUUUUUUUUUUUUUUUUUUUUUUUUUUUUUUUUUUUUUUUUUUUUUUUUUUUUUUUUUUUUUUUUUUUUUUUUUUUUUUUUUUUUUUUUUUUUUUUUUUUUUUUUUUUUUUUUUUUUUUUUUUUUUUUUUUUUUUUUUUUUUUACAAAUUUCAAAUAA
rnacentral:lncRNA from 12 species